rnacentral:lncRNA from 1 species
GGGGUCAGCCCAGCUAUGGGGUCAGCAGAGCUAUGGGGUCAGCCCACCCAUAGGGUCAGCCCAUCUAUAGGAUCAGUCCAGCUGUGGGGUCAGCAGAGCUAUGGGGUCAGCUCAGAUAUGGGGUCAGCCCAGUUAUGAGGUCAGCUGGACUAUGGGGUCAGCAGAGCUAUGGGGUCAGCCCACCUAUAGGGUCAGCCCAUCUAUGGAGUCAGCCCAUCUAUGGGUCAUCCCAGCUAUGGGGUCAGCCCAGUUAUGGGGUCAGCCAUGAGGUCAGCCCAGCUAUGGGAUCAGCCCAGCUAUGGGGUCAGCCCAGCUAUGGGGUCAGUCCAGUUAUGGGGUCAACCAUGAGGUCAGCCCAGCUAUGGGGUCAGUCCAGUUAUGGGGUCAACCAUGAGAUCAGCCCAGCUAUGGGGUCAGCCCAACUAUGUGGUCAGCCCAGUUAUGGGGUCAGCCAUGAGGUCAGCCCAGCUAUGAGGUCAGCCCAGUUAUGGGGUCAGCCCAGUUAUGGGGUCAGCCAUGAGGUCAGCCCAGUUAUGGGGUCAGCCCAGUUAUGGGGUCAGCGCACCCCAUGCGUGCCGGCUCAGUAGCAGGGCUGGCUGCGAACUCAAUGAGCCGUGAACCCCGUAAGGCCCGGCUGCCAGAUGGGGUCGGGCUGGGAGAGCCGCAGUGCUUUGGGGCCGUGUGUGGGAUUUGUCCCCAGAGCCGGGAUCGGCCGCCUCCUAAUGCUGCUCUGCCACCUCCGGGCUCCACGGGGGAUUUGGGGCACAGCGGGAGCUGCUGGGCUGUGAAGAUAUCCACAGCCACUGCUCCCAUCCCAUCCCAUCCCAUCCCAUCCCAUCCCAUCCCAUCCCAUCCCAUCCCAUCCCAUCCCAUC